rnacentral:rRNA from 1 species
AUGUCGUCGCUCAGCAGGGAGCUGGUCUUCCUCAUCCUGCAGUUCCUCGACGAGGAAAAGUUCAAGGAGACGGUGCACAAGUUGGAGCAGGAAUCGGGCUUCUACUUCAACAUGAAGCACUUCGAGGACCUGGUCCAAGGUGGGGAGUGGGACGAGGUGGAGAGGUACCUCAGCGGCUUCACCAAGGUGGAGGACAACCGCUACUCCAUGAAGAUAUUCUUUGAGAUCCGCAAGCAGAAGUACCUUGAAGCCCUCGACAGGCAUGAUCGGGCCAAGGCAGUGGAGAUACUCGUCAAGGAUUUGAAGGUGUUUGCCUCCUUUAACGAGGAGCUGUUCAAGGAGAUAACGCAGCUGCUGACUCUGGAUAAUUUUAGGCAAAAUGAGCAGCUGUCCAAAUACGGGGAUACAAAGUCAGCCCGGAAUAUCAUGCUCAUGGAGCUUAAGAAGCUUAUUGAGGCAAACCCUCUGUUCCGAGACAAGCUUAAUUUCCCACCAUUUAAAGCCUCGAGACUGCGCACGUUGAUCAAUCAAAGUCUUAACUGGCAACAUCAGCUCUGCAAGAAUCCUAGACCAAACCCUGACAUAAAGACACUCUUCACGGAUCACUCCUGUGCUGCUCCUACCAAUGGAGCAAGAGCUCCUCCCCCUGCCAAUGGUCCUCUUGUUGGACCAAUCCCCAAGACAGCUGGAUUCCCUCCAAUGGGUGCUCAUGCUCCGUUUCAACCCGUGGUUUCACCAUCUCCAAAUGCAAUUGCUGGUUGGAUGACAAAUCCCAAUCCCUCCUUACCACAUCCUGCUAUUGCACAAGGGCCGCCCGGUCUUGUUCAGCCACCAAACACAGCGGCAUUUCUGAAGCAUCCAAGGACUCCUACAAGUGCGCCUGGCAUUGACUAUCAGUCUGCAGAUUCUGAACAUCUGAUGAAAAGAAUGCGUGUAGGCCAGCCAGAUGAGGUGUCAUUCUCUGGUGCAAGCCAUCCUCCCAAUGUUUACAGUCAAGAAGACCUCCCCAAACAAGUUGUUCGCACACUCAAUCAGGGUUCUAAUGUUAUGAGCCUGGAUUUCCAUCCUGUUCAACAAACUAUUCUUCUAGUUGGAACAAAUGUUGGUGACAUCGGGAUAUGGGAAGUUGGUUCACGCGAAAGGAUAGCACACAAGACAUUUAAAGUUUGGGACAUUGGCUCCUGCACCUUGCCAUUGCAGGCUGCACUAAUGAAAGAUGCUGCAAUAUGUGUCAAUAGGUGUCUGUGGAGCCCUGAUGGAAAUAUUUUAGGUGUGGCAUUUUCAAAGCAUAUCGUUCAGACUUAUACGUUUGUUCCUAAUGGAGAGUUAAGACAGCAAGCAGAGAUUGAUGCUCACAUUGGCGGGGUCAAUGACAUUGCAUUCUCUCACCCCAACAAGUCCCUAUCAAUUAUUACAUGUGGUGAUGACAAACUCAUUAAGGUAUGGGAUGCUCAGUCCGGACAAAAGCAAUACACAUUUGAAGGCCAUGAGGCUUCAGUGUACUCUGUUUGCCCUCACUACAAGGAGAACAUUCAGUUUAUCUUUUCUACCGCCAUCGAUGGAAAAAUCAAGGCAUGGUUAUACGACUGUUUGGGCUCACGGGUCGACUACGAUGCUCCUGGACAUUGGUGUACUACCAUGUCUUAUAGUGCUGAUGGUACAAGGCUCUUCUCUUGUGGAACUAGUAAAGACGGUGAUUCCCACUUGGUCGAGUGGAAUGAGACUGAAGGAGCUAUUAAGAGGACAUAUAAUGGCUUCAGGAAACGGUCACUGGGUGUUGUCCAGUUUGACACAACGAGAAACCAUUUUUUGGCUGCUGGAGAUGAAUUUGUUGUUAAAUUCUGGGAUAUGGAUAACACCAACAUACUGACAACAACAGACUGUGAGGGUGGACUGCCUGCAAGCCCGCGCCUGAGAUUCAAUAGAGAAGGGUCAUUGCUUGCUGUUACAGCAAACGAUAAUGGAAUAAAAAUAUUAGCAAACACCGAUGGGCAGCGUUUGCUGAGGAUGCUAGAGAGCAGGGCUUUUGAAGGCUCUCGUGGACCUCCUCAACAAAUUAAUACCAAGCCUCCACUGCUCACCAACCUUGGUUCUGCUUCAAAUGUAUCUAGUCCUAUAGCAGUGAACUCAGAGCGACCUGAUAGGAUGUUGCCUGCAGUAUCAAUGAGUGGACUGGCAUCUAUGGAUGUUAGCAGAACGCCGGAUGUUAAACCAAGAAUAACUGAUGAAUCUGAAAAGCUAAAGACCUGGAAGUUGGCCGACAUUGUUGAUUCAGGACAUCUUCGGGCACGGCGUUGUCCAGAUACAGGAGCAUCUCCAACAAAAGUUGUCCGUUUGUUGUAUACAAAUAGUGGGGUUGCACUUUUGUCUCUCGGUUCCAAUGCUGUUCAUAAGCUGUGGAAAUGGCAACGCAGUGACAGGAAUCCUAAUGGCAAGUCUACUGCAUCUAUUUCGCCUCACCUGUGGCAACCAGCAAAUGGGAUUCUAAUGACAAAUGACACAAGUGAUGGCAACCCAGAAGAAGCAACUGCCUGCAUUGCGUUGUCCAAAAAUGACUCCUAUGUUAUGUCUGCAUCUGGUGGCAAAGUCUCUUUGUUCAAUAUGAUGACGUUCAAGGUCAUGACUACUUUCAUGGCACCUCCACCUGCUGCGACUUUCCUCGCAUUCCACCCACAGGACAAUAAUAUUAUUGCUAUAGGAAUGGAAGACUCGACCAUUCAAAUCUACAAUGUCCGUGUUGAUGAGGUCAAAAGCAAGCUCAAGGGUCAUCAGAAAAAGAUUACCGGACUGGCAUUUUCUCAAUCAAUGAAUGUUCUUGUAUCUUCAGGUGCUGAUGCUCAGCUAUGCGUCUGGAGCAUUGAUGGUUGGGAGAAGAAGAAAUCAAAAUAUAUCCAACCCCCGGCAAAUCGCUCUGGUGCUUUAGUUGGCGAUACAAGGGUCCAGUUUCACAAUGACCAAACACAUCUUCUUGUAGUUCAUGAGAGCCAACUGGCAAUCUAUGAUGGAAAUCUUGAAUGCUCGCGCUCGUGGUACCCAAGAGAUGCACUGCCAGCGCCAGUUUCGAGUGCAAUAUACUCGUGUGAUGGUCUCCUGGUUUAUGCUGGUUUCUGUGACGGUGCUAUUGGAGUAUUUGAAGCCGAGUCCCUUAGGUUGCGUUGCAGGAUUGCACUUUCCGCCUAUGUGCCUCCUUCAAUAUCUAGCGGGGCAAAUGUGUACCCCAUGGUUGUAGCGGCGCAUCCCUUGGAGCCUAACCAGAUUGCAGUUGGAAUGAGUGAUGGGGCAGUUCAUGUGGUUGAGCCGCUGGACGCGGACCCAAAGUGGGGAGUCGCGCCUCCCCAGGAUAACGGAGCCCACCCGUCCAUGUCAUCAGCUCCAGCAGCAUCUAACAACCAGACGUCUGAUCAGCCAACGAGAUGA